CCUACGGGAGGCAGCAGUGGGGAAUAUUGCACAAUGGGGGAAACCCUGAUGCAGCAACGCCGCGUGAGUGAAGAAGUAUUUCGGUAUGUAAAGCUCUAUCAGCAGGGAAGAAGAUGACGGUACCUAAUUAAGAAGCCCUUGCCAACUACGUGCCAGCAGCCGCGGUCAUACGUAGGGGGCAAGCGUUAUCUGGAUGUACUGGGGGUAAAGGUAGCGGAGACGGCAGGGCAAGUCUAGAGUGAAAGCCCGGGGCCCAACCCCGGAACUGCUCUGGAAACUGUGCGGCUAGAGUGCUGGAGAGGAAAGUGGAAUUCCUGGUGUAGCGGUGAAAUGCGUAGAUAUUAGGAGGAACACCAGUGGCGAAGGCGACCAGCUGGACAGUAACUGACGUUGAGGAGCGAAAGCGUGGGGAGCAAACAGGAUUAGAUACCCGAGUAGUC
rnacentral:rRNA from 1 species